UCUAUGGCCAUACCACCCUGAAUGCGCCCGAUCUCGUCUGACCUUGGAAGCUAAGCAGGGUCAGGCCUGGUUAGUACUUGGAUGGGAGAGUAGUUAAGCUGGAACUGUUCCUAGAAUACUCAGGUCCUUUAUGAG
rnacentral:rRNA from 1 species